rnacentral:lncRNA from 1 species
GAGGUUAAACAGGGACUUUAAUAAGGUAGUUCAGUGGUGUAAACAAUGGCAAAUGUGCAUUAAUUUCGAAAAAACAGUAUAUAUGCGGACAACUUUAAAAAAGAAGCCACUGCUAUAUCGCUAUGGCACAGAAAACGCUUUUUUGUCAGAGGUAACGCAAUAUAAGUAUCUUGGCUUGUACAUAACAAAGGAUCUUUCCUGGUCAAAGCACCUUGACACAGUAAUAGCAAACUGUCGCCGCAAGUUAUUUUUUCUAAGACGCGUAUUAAAAUCCACCACACCAACAGUACGUCUAUUGGCAUACAAAACACUCGUCCGCCCCGUUUUAGAAUAUGCUGUAGUUAUAUGGGACCCGUUCACUAAAAGCGAUAUUGGAAAGCUAGAAAGCUUCCAGAAAAAAAGCAGUCCGAUUCAUCUACAAUACAUAUGGGCGUAGUUCUAUUACUAACCUUUUAUCUCGGAGCGGCUUGCCUUCCAUAACCGAUCUUAAUGAAG